rnacentral:tRNA from 1 species
GCCCCCAUAGCCCAACUGGUAGAGGCAGCCGGCUUAAACCCGGCGAAGUACGGGUUCGAAUCCCGUUGGGGGCA